rnacentral:rRNA from 1 species
GACGAACCGUGCGAACGUUAUUCGGAAUCACUGGGCUUAAAGCGCGUGUAGGCGGGAGGGCACGUCCGUUGCUGAAAUCCCCGGCUCAACCGGGGAACGGGCGCGGAUACGACCUUCCUGGAGGGGCGUAGGGGACCUGGAACUUCCGGUGGAGCGGUGAAAUGCGUUGAGAUCGGAAGGAACGCCCGUGGCGAAAGCGAGGUCCUGGACGCCUACUGACGCUGAGACGCGAAAGCCAGGGAGCAAAGCGGG